GCAUCCGCUGGCAUCGAAAACGAUCGUGGCAUCUUUUACGGCUAGCUAGAUGAGAUUUGACUCGAAGUUCAGCACGUACAGCACAUCAGAGAGCCCCACCUUGGAGUGUUCAUACGAAUGUCAGAUGGCACGAUCCGGUUCCCUUGGCCGACACUUUACACGCUAACCUGAAACUACCCAUCGAUUGGGUCGAUUAUACCCGGAUUUUUAUGUUAUUCGCAGCUGUCAAAAUCUGGGUAACGGAUCUCACACCAGAAGAGUAAGGUUUACUCUGAUUGUGGGUAGAGGGGUCUUCGCGGAAAUCUCGAUACCCAUUUUUUUCUUGUUGUUGGUGAACGUCAAAAUCUGGGUAAAUGGGACUUGAGACAAUUUUUUUCGCAUUGUUCGCGGCGGAGUCCAAACCGAAAAAUGAGCGACCACGAAGAAACUUUGGAUGGCGGUACCAGCAACCUGCUGACUGGUGGCAUUCUGCGCCGCUUGCCGACUGAAAAAAAAAUGGCAAGGUUAGGAGUAGUCGCGGGAGGAAGUAGCCCGAUGUUGGAUAAACAAAUUGAACACCUUCUGCAAUAGUCACAGGAUCUGGCCAGCUUGGCGUGAAAAUCUACACAAGGAUGUAUGCAGGCUACCAAAUUCAAAUAUGGAUCAUCUCCAUCGUCGAACAAGCCAUUCUGCGAAAAAAUCCUUUAUAUUAGUGAUAGAAAACUGUAGACACUAAUAAAUCGCCAAUGAGUUUUAUUUU